UGGUGAUAUCUCUUUUUCUUCUUGCAGCUGGUUCCAAAUCUCCAGUGUAGCCCCUAUUGUGGGGUGUUUCUUUGUCUGUUGAGCGAUUGAGUCUCUCUUCCAGAGUCAGAUCCUGUGCAGCGAGUCGGUCCUGCCUCCCAUGCUCUCCAGUUCCUGCUUAAUACCAUGGAGCUCGUUGCGGAUCUCGUCUGUCAUCGUGUGCAGCAUCUCUUUGAUAUAGUUUUUGGAAGGCCCCUGCAGAGGCGUAAGCUCCCCAGUUUGGAAACGACUGCUCUAACCUAACAAAAGUCUAAUAGUUAAUAAAGACAUAAAACUCUGCUACAUAUAUUUAUCCUAAUUCUUGUAACAUAAUAUAACAUAACAUAAUAAAAACUAGAGAUAUUCUUGCAAUAUGUAUUUUUCCCAAUUUCUCAAUUACUUUUUUUUAGGUUUUACAUGAUCAUAUGGCUUGUCUUGUACAGUUUGUAAAUUU